GCUCAGGAUGAACGCUGGCGGCGUGCCUAAUACAUGCAAGUCGAGCGAACAGAUGAGAAGCUUGUUUCUGAGAUGUGAGCGGCGGACGUGUGUGUCACACGUGUAUCACCUACGUAUGAGACUGGGAUAUCUUCGGGACACCGGAUAUAAUACCGGAUAAUAUUGAGAACCACAGGUUUCACAAGUGAAAGACGGUCGGGUUGUCAUUUAUAGAGGGAUCCGGGCUCCUUAAGUUAGUUGGUAAGGUAUGGCUUUACCAAGGCAAGGAGGCAUAGCGGCCUGGAGAGGGUGUUGGCCCCCACGGGAAUUGAGCCCCGGCCCAGAUUCUUCCGGGAGCCACCAGUAGGGAUUUUUCCCCAAUGGGGGAAAUCCGGAGGGAGCAACGCCGCUGGAGUGAUGAAGGUUUUGGAUUGGUAAAAUUCGGUUAUUAGGGAAGACCAUAUGUGUAAGAAUAGGUGCGCAUCUUGACGGUACCUAAUCAGAAAGCCACGGCUAACUACGUGCCAGCAGCCGCGGUAAUACGUAGGUGGCAAGCGUUAUCCGGAAUUAUUGGGCGUAAAGGGCGCGCAGGCGGUUUUUUAAGUCUGAUGUGAAAGCCCCCGGCUCAACCGGGGAGGGUCAUUGGAAACUGGGAAACUUGAGUGCAGAAGAGGAAAGUGGAAUUCCACGUGUAGCGGUGAAAUGCGCAGAGAUAUGGAGGAACACCAGUGGCGAAGGCGACUCUCUGGUCUGUAACUGACGCUAAGAG
rnacentral:rRNA from 1 species